CAACAUAGUAUUGAUAAUAAUGAACAAUGACAUAGUCCUGAUGCACAAGGGCCUCCGUAGAGUGGCCACCGUCCCUAAAAAUUGAAAAAUUCUUUUGGAUUAUGUUUAAAAGUUAAAAUUAUAUUUGUAUAUGAUAAAUCUGUCAACUUUUUUUGCUCUUAUUAAAAAAUAUAUUUUUAAUGCAACUAAAUUUUGUGCAAAAAUCUGUAGGCGUACAAAG
rnacentral:misc_RNA from 1 species